rnacentral:rRNA from 1 species
GUGAGGAAUAUUGGUCAAUGGGCGAGAGCCUGAACCAGCCAAGUCGCGUGAAGGAAGAAGGAUCUAUGGUUCGUAAACUUCUUUUGCAGGGGAAUAAAGUGCAGGACGUGUUCUGUUUUGUAUGUACCCUGAGAAUAAGGAUCGGCUAACUCCGUGCCAUCAGCCGCGGUAAUACGGAGGAUCCGAGCGUUAUCCGGAUUUAUUGGGUUUAAAGGGUGCGUAGGUGGAUUGAUAAGUCAGCGGUGAAAGUUUGCAGCUUAACUGUAAAAUUGCCGUUGAAACUGUCGGACUUGAGUGUAAAUGAGGUAGGCGGAAUGCGUGGUGUAGCGGUGAGAUGCAUAGAUAUCACGCAGAACUCCGAUUGCGAAGGCAGCUUACUAAGCUACAACUGACACUGAAGCACGAAAGCGUGGGGAUCAAACAGGAUUAGAAACCCCAGUAGUCC